rnacentral:rRNA from 1 species
AUUGAACGCUGGUGGAAUGCUUUACACAUGCAAGUCGAACGGCAGCACGGACUUCGGUCUGGUGGCGAGUGGCGAACGGGUGAGUAAUAUAUCGGAACGUGCCCAGUCGUGGGGGAUAACGUAGCGAAAGCUACGCUAAUACCGCAUACGAUCUACGGAUGAAAGCGGGGGAUCGCAAGACCUCGCGCGAUUGGAGCGGCCGAUAUCAGAUUAGGUAGUUGGUGAGGUAAAGGCUCACCAAGCCGACGAUCUGUAGCUGGUCUGAGAGGACGCCCAGCCACACUGGGACUGAGACACGGCCCAGACUCCGACGGGAGCCAGCAGUGGGGAAUUUAGGACAAUGGACGCAAGUCUGAUCCAGCCAUUCCGCGUGCAGGACGAAGGCCUUCGGGUUGUAAACUGCUUUUGUACAGAACGAAAAGGUCUCUAUUAAUACUAGGGGCUUAUGACGGUACUGUAAGAAUAAGCACCGGCUAACUACGUGCCAGCCGCCGCGGUAA